GACGAACGCUGGCGGCGUGCCUAAUACAUGCAAGUAGAACGCACAGUUUAUACCGUAGCUUGCUACACCAUAGACUGUGAGUUGCGAACGGGUGAGUAACGCGUAGGUAACCUGCCUGGUAGCGGGGGAUAACUAUUGGAAACGAUAGCUAAUACCGCAUAAUAUUAAUUAUUGCAUGAUAAUUAAUUGAAAGGUGCAAUUGCACCACUACCAGAUGGACCUGCGUUGUAUUAGCUAGUAGGUGAGGUAACGGCUCACCUAGGCGACGAUACAUAGCCGACCUGAGAGGGUGAUCGGCCACACUGGGACUGAGACACGGCCCAAACUCCUACGGGAGGCAGCAGUAGGGAAUCUUCGGCAAUGGACGAAAGUCUGACCGAGCAACGCCGCGUGAGUGAAGAAGGUUUUCGGAUCGUAAAGCUCUGUUGUAAGAGAAGAACGGGUGUGAGAGUGGAAAGUUCACACUGUGACGGUAUCUUACCAGAAAGGGACGGCUAACUACGUG
rnacentral:rRNA from 1 species